rnacentral:rRNA from 1 species
UACACUCCUGCGGGAGGCAGCAGUGGGGAAUUUUGGACAAUGGGCGAAAGCCUGAUCCAGCAAUGCCGCGUGAGUGAAGAAGGCCUUCGGGUUGUAAAGCUCUUUUGUCAGGGAAGAAACGGUGAAAGCUAAUAUCUUUUGCUAAUGACGGUACCUGAAGAAUAAGCACCGGCUAACUACGUGCCAGCAGCCGCGGUAAUACGUAGGGUGCAAGCGUUAAUCGGAAUUACUGGGCGUAAAGCGUGCGCAGGCGGUUUUGUAAGUCUGAUGUGAAAUCCCCGGGCUCAACCUGGGAAUUGCAUUGGAGACUGCAAGGCUAGAAUCUGGCAGAGGGGGGUAGAAUUCCACGUGUAGCAGUGAAAUGCGUAGAUAUGUGGAGGAACACCGAUGGCGAAGGCAGCCCCCUGGGUCAAGAUUGACGCUCAUGCACGAAAGCGUGGGGAGCAAACAGGAUUAGAUACCCUGGUAGUCCCAUG